CCCUACGGGGCGCAGCAGGCGCGAAACCUUUACAAUGUACGUAAGUGCGAUAAGGGAACUCCUAGUGCUCAUGCAAUGCAUGGGCUUUUGCCAAAUGUAAAGAGUUUGGCGAAUAAGUGGUGGGUAAGACGGGUGCCAGCCGCCGCGGUAACACCUGCGCCACGAGUGGCAAUCAUGUUUAUUGGGCCUAAAGCGUUCGUAGCCGGAUCAAUAAGUCUUGGGUGAAAUCGUUGCGCUUAACAAAACGACGUGCUUGAGAUACUGCUGAUCUAGGGACCGGGAGGAGUUAGGGGUAUUCCUGAGGGAGCGGUAAAAUGCUAUAAUCUCAGGAGGACCACCUGUGGCGAAGGCGCCUAACUAGAACGGGUCCGACGGUGAGGAACGAAAGCUAGGGGAGCAAACCGGAUUAGAUACCCGAGUAGUCCUAGCUGUAAACGCUGUGUACUAGAUGUUGCAUAAUCUACAUGGUUAUGCAGUGUCGGAGCGAAGGUAUUAAGUACACCGCCUGGGAAGUACGGUCGCAAGGCUGAAACUUAAAGGAAUUGGCGGGGGAGCAC
rnacentral:rRNA from 1 species